UGGAGAGGUCCCAGAAGACUGGAGGCUUGCCAGUGCGACUCCCAUCUACAUGAAGGGGCACAAGGAGGAUCCAGGGAAGUGCAGGCCUGUCAGCCUGACCUCAGUGCCAGGAAUUGACAGACCUGAUGCAUACCAAAUACUUCCAGCACACCUGACAGGGCUCCAUUACUGCCAAAAAUCAGCAACUUGCCCCAGGCAGGAGGCCCAGCAAAUAACCUCUGAGUUGGAGCAGUACAGGACAUCAUCACAGAAACGAGGACUCGGUCCAGCAGAAGAGUUUUACUCCCUAACUGCAUAAUCAAGGUGAGGAUAUCCCGUCUUGAAAUAUAUAUCAGUCCCUAUCAGACAUCUGUCUCUGCUUUCUGCAGAGACUGCUGUGUAAAACCUCAGGUCUUGGCCCCCCUUCCUGUUGAUGUGAGCGAGGCACUUCUGGAUGACAGCUCUGUUCCUCACAUCCAAGAUGCAGCCAGGAGCACAGUGCUCAUUUGGGCAGGAAACAGGGUUAGGGCACAGAGCUAAGCAAGUAAGUCUCAGCACCAGGAACUCUGUGAGCACACGGUAUUUGUAGACACUUAUUUCUACAUAAAUGUACAUAAAUGCGUACAUCGAAGGAAAUCAUGCAAAGUGCCAAAACGAAACACCUCAUGCAUG
ensembl:lncRNA